UUACCUUGGCAAUUUUUUUGGCAAUCAAUUUUAACAUAAGUUUUGGAGGGGACAAACCACAUUCAAACCAUAACGCUUUCCUUCUUAGAACAUCAUCUUCUUUGCUAUGACUCAGCCAUCUUCUAGUUACCUCCUAUAACCCUGGGUGCUACUUCUGUUUAUUUCAUGGAAUCUUCUACAAUCUGUGUCAUAGUGUUUGUGGGGUUCCAGAUUCUGCUCUGGGCUCUCUUCUCUUCUCACCCUACCCAUUUCCCUGGGAAAUUGUACCUACUUCUGUUAUUGAUCUUUUGAUAACUUCCAUAUCUGUUCUUCAGCUCUGUGGUACAUUGCAAAGCCUGUCCAGAAAUAUUUAUUGCUCCUCCUGUCAAGAGGUGGAGUUGAUUUCUCCAACCAUUGAAUCUGGCUGCCUUUGGGACUUGCUAUGGAGAACAAAAUGCAGAAGUGAUGCUGUGCCAGUCUUAAGCUUGUACCUCAAGAUGUUUUGCACACAUAUGCUUUUGAUCUUGGAACCCCUUAUCCUAGCCCAGUGAACAAACUGGGCUGAGCUGAUGAUCAAAGACACCUCCUUCACCCUUUCUGUCUACAAGGCCCUCUGAAAACAGCUGGUCCUCUGGUGAUCUAUCAGUUAACUGGAUACUUUCAAAAUGUAAUUUUAACCAUGUGAAUCACCUGAAGAAAUUCCUAUAAUGGCUCACAUUCUGUCAUAAUGUCCAUGAGCUUCUGCUGGACUCACAGCCUUGACUUUAAUCCUCAUAUAAUUGGGAAGCAUUAACAAUUCUUGAAUGGGAACAUGUUAGUACCAGGGCUCUGCUUCAAGAGAACUGGUCUGGGAGUUGUACUGAGCAUGGCCUAUGGGGAAACUUGGGAUGUAAGAAGAGAAAUUAAGAAGGCCUUUCAUACAUCCAAUGAGAAAAGAUGGAUCUCAAACAAGACUGGUGGCAAUGGGAACUUUCAGUGUUUUUUGAAGGAAAGUUUUAGGAGGAUGAGAUGGAUACCAACAAGAACUUCAGGAGUAUGUUAUUCAGGCUUUGUUCUGACCAGAUGUCAAGGGAGGGAAAGGGAAAAGUAAAAACUGCCCGUGAUCUCAAGCCUGGCUCACAGAUAUGAGUGAAAGCACUGUUUGAAUAAUAAAGUAUGGAGGAGAAGGAAGUUUAUGGAGCAAAGAAAUCGUCACAAGACAACUAGGGGACAUGGUGCUAGAAAGGUGGUUUGGGGUCAGCCCUUCUGUGCUUGCGUGGCAGCUAGUAGCUCAAGCGCACUGCUCAGCUUUUUCCUUCUGCAUCUCUGUAUACACCAUUUCUUCCACCCAGCUUCCUGAUCUAUUUAUUAAAACCAUACUUCCAA